rnacentral:tRNA from 1 species
UCCCUGGUAGUAUAUCGGCUAGUACACGCGCCUGUCAUGUGAUGAGCAAUCAAGGUUUAAAUCCCUUUAUACCCGCGCGAAAGCUGGGUUCGACUCCCAGCCAGGGAG